rnacentral:rRNA from 1 species
GACGUAGGAUCCGAGCGUUGUCCGGAGUUACUGGGCGUAAAGCGCGCGCAGGCGGGCACGCGCAUCGGCGGUGAAAGCCCCCCGCUCAACGGGGGAGGGUCCGUCGAGAUGGCGUGUCUGGAGGCAGGGAGAGGCCAGUGGAAUUCCGGGUGUAGUGGUGAAAUGCGUAGAGAUCCGGAGGAACACCAGUGGCGAAGGCGGCUGGCUGGACCUGACCUGACGCUGAGGCGCGAAGGCGUGGGGAGCGAACAGG